AAACCAGCACCUCAAGUGGUCAGGAUGAUUAUUGGGCCUAAAGCAUCCGUAGCCUGAUCUGUAAGUUUUCGGUUAAAUCUGUACGCUCAACGUACAGGCUGCCGGGAAUACUGCAGAUCUAGGGAGUGGGAGAGGUAGACGGUACUCGGGAGGAAGUGGUAAAAUGCUUUGAUCUCUCGAUGACCACCUGUGGCGAAGGCGGUCUACCAGAACACGUCCGACGGUGAGGGAUGAAAGCUGGGGGAGCAAACCGGAUUAGAAACCCCAGUAGUCC
rnacentral:rRNA from 1 species